UGGGGAAUUUUGCACAAUGGGGGAAACCCUGAUGCAGCGACGCCGCGUGAUUUAGAAGGCCUUCGGGUUGUAAAAAUCUUUUUUACGGGAUGAAAAUGACAGUACCGUAAGAAUAAGGUCCGGCUAAAUACGUGCCAGCAGCCGCGGUAAUACGUAUGGACCGAGCGUUGCUCGGAAUCAUUGGGCGUAAAGGGUACGUAGGCGGCCUAGUAAGUUAGAAGUGAAAUAAUAUAGCUCAACUAUAUAAAGCUUUUAAAACUGCUAGGCUUGAGAGAUGGAAGGGAAAGUGGAAUUCCUAGUGUAGCGGUGAAAUGCGCAGAUAUUAGGAAGAAUACCGGUGGCGAAGGCGACUUUCUGGUCAUCAUCUGACGCUGAGGUACGAAAGCGUGGGUAGCAAACAGG
rnacentral:rRNA from 1 species